GGCCGCAUAGCAUAACGGUUAGGGAGCUGGUCUCGUGAAUCGGAUGUGUCAGGUUCGAUUCCCAGACACGGCCA